CUAGGGCAGCACCUAGUGCAGCCAGCCUUGUGCUGGUAAAACCCAACACAGCUGGGCUACAGCUAAAAGGCCGAAGUGAAAGUGAAGCUUAGCAGAUGCAGAGAGAAAAACAAACCACACCUUGUGAUACCUCUCUCUAAAUCCAGCACAUGGCACCUCCCUGACUUCUUCUUUUAUAGGCUCAAGAGCUCCUGUAUUUUAGAGAAAUUUGAGCCAUACUCCCAUGAUGAUCUGCUACAUGCGGUUUGAAUCUCAUCAGAGGUUGUUGUGAGUAGGUUGGAGCCUUUUCAUUUAGGAGGAGAAAGUACUUUUGAAAAGGUAAAAUAUUGUUUUUCUGUGUCAAAAUGUAUUUGUGUGCUAUGUGUGAAAUGAUUAUCAGGACUGCCCUCCUAUUUGCUCCAACUUUUGGAAUGGCAAUAGAGAAUGUAGCAGAAGGUGGGAAGAAGUGGAAGGAUGAUCCUGAUGUUAGGAGAUUCACAUACAGAUGAACAAAUUGUUUUUUAGCUUAUCGUAAAGUGUUGUCCCUGGUGAUGUUUUGCUCACUGUUUAUGCAUGUGUCCAAUGUGCUCAGUUUCAAGUAUUUUUGGCCACCAGUGCUUACCUGGAGACAGGACUUCACCCUGAAUUUUCUCAGAGCUCCAAGUGUACAGCAACAUCAAACACAUCUCUGCUCCUUCACCAGUAUAUGUUGCCAUAGGAGCAGAGGAAAAGCGAGGAUCAUAGAAACAUAUAAACACUUCUAAAAGAACUGCAGUCACAAUGAAUACUUAUUCCUACUUAGUAUACAUUUUACAUGUGAUGACUCCUUAUCAGAAGUUCUGUCUGAUGCUGGGGAUGUCUUUAGCACACGUAACACAACAGCAUCUGGGAGAAUUAAAUUCUGAAGGUAUGAAGAUAAUCCUAGAGCAGAUGUGCUGUGCACAGAGUACUUGUAUCUGGCCAGAAGAAUAUCAGCUGAAGAAUAUGAGGGGUAUGCACACCAGCUAUGGUAUAUAUACAGGAAAUGUACCAUUGCCUCUGCUAUAGCUACAGCCAGUGCUCAGCCAGUCAAAUAAAUUAAGAUACCUCUAUUGGUGAUGGAUGUUU
rnacentral:lncRNA from 1 species